rnacentral:lncRNA from 1 species
GGCGACGGCGAUGGAGGGCGCGGCGGCGGCGGCGGGGGCGGGGGCGGGGGCGGGGUUGCCCAUGGUGAAGUUGCGGGGAGGCGACGGCGUGGAGUUCUCGGUGCAGGCCCGGCGGCUGGCGGAGCUCGCGCCGCGACACGUAUGGGACCUGCCCGCCAUCGAGUCCGGCGACAUCUACGACACCGUGCAGCUCUACCGCAGGAACGCCGAGCGCUUCACGAGCCGCGCCACCGGCGGGCUGCUUCCCCAGGGGGUCCUGAACGUGCAGACCAUCUUCGCGCAGAGAGUCAACGACCUCGACACCCUCGGCCACCUCACAAGGGCUGCGAUUGUUCUCGGCAUGGAAGAUCUCAAGGAUGAAUGCUACAAUAGGAUGCUGCAAGAUCAUCAGAUGGGACCACAGCAAGUGAAGCUGUUUUUGCAGAAUGUGCUGGGACACCCGUGAACGGUUCCGCAAAUGGCAUUUUUCCUAGUUAUCAUUAGCAGAUCAUCACCCUGGUCUAUACCUAGCUAGUGAAGUAUAUACUGCCUAUGUUUCAGGAUAGGUUAAGUCUUAAGUACAUACAUGGCUAGAACUCUGUUAAGCCGACUGCGUGCCUGCGUGCACUUUAUCAGGUCUAGAUGUGAGAGCUACUUGAGUUGUUUGGUGCUAAGGCCGAUUCGAAUUGCUCUUAUCAAUUCAGAAUUCACAAGCUUACCAGCUCUACCAUGCUAUUCUGCUUUACUUCUGUUUGGAUACAUACAGCUUUGGUUUUCUGAGGUGUUGGAAAUGUCUGAUAAUAGGUGAGGCCUUCUAUAAUCAUGCUAUGUCUUUUGCUGCUGUUGUAGAAAUAUGGUGCACUGCUGCAUAGGAAUUAUGCCUGUUUGCAUUGUCAUUUGCCAGUGAUUCAAAAAUUUGCUUUUAUCUCAAUACGAGAAUGUGAUUGAAGC